rnacentral:misc_RNA from 1 species
CCGAGUUGCAAGACUCCCAAACCACUGUGAACCUUACCAUCGUUGCUUCGGCGGACCCGCCCCGGCGCUCUCGCGACCGGAACCAGGCGACCGCCGGGGGAAAAAACACAAACCUCUGUAUCUCUGUGGAUUAUCUGAGUGGCGAAAGCACAAAUACAAUCA